rnacentral:tRNA from 1 species
GGUGGCGUAGCCAAGUGUCAAGGCAAGAGGCCCGCAAGCUUCUGAUCCCUCGGUUAGACUCCGAGGCGCCACCU